rnacentral:rRNA from 1 species
CCUGACUGCUAUCGGAUUGAUACUAAGCCAUGCGAGUCUUUGUAGUAAUACAAGGCAGACGGCUCAGUAACACGUAGUCAAUCUACCCUAUGGACGGGGAUAACCUCGGGAAACUGAGAAUAAUACCCGACAGAUCAUUAUGCCUGGAAUGGUUUAUGGUUCAAAUGAUUUUUCGCCGUAGGAUGGGACUGCGGUCUAUCAGCUUGUUGGUGAGGUAAUGGCCCACCAAGGCUAUAACAGAUACGGGCUCUGAGAGGAGAAGCCCGGAGAUGGGUACUGAGACACGGACCCAGGCCCUAUGGGGCGCAGCAGGCGAGAAAACUUUGCAAUGUGCGAAAGCACGACAAGGUUAAUCCGAGUGUUUUCUGCUAAAGAAAUCUUUUGUUAGUUCUAAAUCCACUAUCGAAUAAGGGGUGGGCAAGUUCUGGUGUCAGCCGCCGCGGUAAAACCAGCACCUCAAGUGGUCAGGAGGAUUAUUGGGCCUAAAGCAUCCGUAGCCGGCUAUGUUAGUUUUCGGUUAAAUCCAUGUGCUCAACAUAUGGGCUGUCGAGAAUACUGCAUAGCUAGGGAGUGGGAGAGGUAGACGGUACUCGAUAGGAAGGGGUAAAAUCCUUUGAUCUAUUGAUGACCACCAGUGGCGAAGGCGGUCUACCAGAACACGUCCGACGGUGAGGGAUGAAAGCUGGGGGAGCAAACCGGAUUAGAUACCCGGGUAGUCCCAGCUGUAAACUAUGCAAACUCAGUGAUGCAUUGGCUUGUGGCCAAUGCAGUGCCGCAGAGAAGUCGUUAAGUUUGCCGCCUGGGAAGUACGUACGCAAGUAUGAAACUUAAAGGAAUUGGCGGGGGAGCACCACAAGGGGUGAAGCCUGCGGUUC